rnacentral:rRNA from 1 species
UUGACCGUGGCCAGGUAGCAUAAUUUAUUGUCUUUUAAUUAAAGGCUUGUAUGAAUGGUUGAAUGAGAUAUUAACUAUUUUUUUUUUAAUAAAAAUGAAUUUUAAUUUUUAGUAAAAAUGCUAAAAUAAAAAAAUUAGACGAGAAGACCCUAUAAAUUUUAAUUUUAUUUUUUUAUAAUAUUAAUUUUGAAAAUUUUUAAUAAAUUAUAAAAAUAAAAUUUUAUUGGGAGGAUAAUGAAAUUUAAUAAACUUUUAUUUUUUUUUUAUAAAUAUAAUUAAAUUAUUGAAUAUAUAAUUAUAAAAUAUUUAAAAAAUUAAGUUACUUUAGGGAUAACAGCGUAAUUAUUUUAAAGAGUUCUUAUCGAUAAAAUAGUUUGCGACCUCGAUGUUGAAUUAAGGAUUAAUUAGGUGUAG